rnacentral:rRNA from 1 species
GAUGGUGCUGCAAGAAGAGCCUACAAACAUUUCCGAGAUUGCAUUUCGUUCGAUGCAACAUAUCUCACUAAUAUGUACAAGAUGCCCUGCGCUCCAUUCAUAAGAAUAAGUAACCACAAUCAGUCAUUGAAGUUCGGUUGCGGGCUCGUUCGGAAUGAAGAUACGGAUGGGUACACUUGGCUGUUCAAAACCUUCUUGGAGUGCAUGGGUGGACUUGCUCCGAUGAACAUAAUAACAGACCAGGAUUUUAGCAUGCGUGCAGGCAUAAAGGAGGUCUUUCCGUUGGCAGUGCAUAGGCACUACAUGUGGCAUAUUAUUAAGAAGGAUGAGGAGACGCUAGGACCAUUCUUUGCUGACCAUCCAGAUCUGCACAAGGCAUUCGAGUUUUGCGUGGACCACAGCUUGACGGUGGAGGAGUUUGAACGGAGCUGGACAGCUAUGAUUGAAACAUGUCAAGUCCAAGACAACAAGACGCUUACUAGCCUAUGGGAGAAGCGAAUGUACUGGGUGCCGGCCUACUUCAUGCAGUGCUUCUUCCCAUUUCUGCAGACUACGCAGCGCAGCGAGGGGUUCAAUGCUGUUCUGAAGCGGUACGUGAGCCCUGGCAACUCAUUGCUGCAGUUUGCCAAGCAAUACAUAGCUUUGCAACAUAAAAUACUGGGAUCUGAGCUACAACAAGAAGCAAACACCACGCUCAAGCAGCCUAAAUUGCUAACAUAUUUACCGAUGGAGAGGCAGAUGAGCAAGACAUAUACCAACAAGAUUUUUAACAAGUAA